rnacentral:rRNA from 1 species
GCCGCGUGUGUGAAGAAGGCCUUAUGGUUGUAAAGCACUUUAAGCGAGGAGGAGGCUACUGAGACUAAUACUCUUGGAUAGUGGACGUUACUCGCAGAAUAAGCACCGGCUAACUCUGUGCCAGCAGCCGCGGUAAUACAGAGGGUGCGAGCGUUAAUCGGAUUUACUGGGCGUAAAGCGUGCGUAGGCGGCUUUUUAAGUCGGAUGUGAAAUCCCCGAGCUUAACUUGGGAAUUGCAUUCGAUACUGGGAAGCUAGAGUAUGGGAGAGGAUGGUAGAAUUCCAGGUGUAGCGGUGAAAUGCGUAGAGAUCUGGAGGAAUACCGAUGGCGAAGGCAGCCAUCUGGCCUAAUACUGACGCUGAGGUACGAAAGCAUGGGGAGCAAACAGGAUUAGAUACCCUGGUAGUCCAUGCCGUAAACGAUGUCUACUAGCCGUUGGGGCCUUUGAGGCUUUAGUGGCGCAGCUAACGCGAUAAGUAGACCGCCUGGGGAGUACGGUCGCAAGACUAAAACUCAAAUGAAUUGACGGGGGCCCGCACAAGCGGUGGAGCAUGUGGUUUAAUUCGAUGCAACGCGAAGAACCUUACCUGGCCUUGACAUACUAGAAACUUUCCAGAGAUGGAUUGGUGCCUUCGGGAAUCUAGAUACAGGUGCUGCAUGGCUGUCGUCAGCUCGUGUCGUGAGAUGUUGGGUUAAGUCCCGCAACGAGCGCAACCCUUUUCCUUACUUGCCAGCAUUUCGGAUGGGAACUUUAAGGAUACUGCCAGUGACAAACUGGAGGAAGGCGGGGACGACGUCAAGUCAUCAUGGCUCUUACGGCCAGGGCUACACACGUGCUACAAUGGUCGGUACAAAGGGUUGCUACACAGCGAUGUGAUGCUAAUCUCAAAAAGCCGAUCGUAGUCCGGAUUGGAGUCUGCAACUCGACUCCUUGAAGUCGGAAUCGCUAGUUAAUCGCGGA